UACGAAGGGGGCUAGCGUUGCUCGGAAUCACUGGGCGUAAAGCGCACGUAGGCGGAUCUUUAAGUCAGAGGUGAAAUCCCAAGGCUCAACCUUGGAACUGCCUUUGAUACUGGGGAUCUCGAGUCCGGAAGAGGUGAGUGGAACUGCGAGUGUAGAGGUGAAAUUCGUAGAUAUUCGGAAGAACACCAGUGGCGAAGGCGACUGACUGGACAAGUAUUGACGCUGAGGUGCGAAAGCGUGGGGAGCAAACAGG
rnacentral:rRNA from 1 species